GGGGGAGUGUCGGAACUGGCAGACGAGCAUGAUUUAGGAUCAUGUGCCGCGAGGCGUGAGGGUUCGAGUCCCUCCUUCCCCA
rnacentral:tRNA from 1 species